AUUGAACGCUGGCGGAAUGCUUUACACAUGCAAGUCGAGCGGCAGCGCGGGGGCAACCUGGCGGCGAGCGGCGAACGGGUGAGUAAUGCAUCGGAACAUGUCCAUGUCGUGGGGGAUAGCCCGGCGAAAGCCGGAUUAAUACCGCAUACGCCCGAGAGGGGAAAGUGGGGGACCGCAAGGCCUCACGCGAUUGGGUUGGCCGAUGUCCGAUUAGCUAGUUGGCGGGGUAAGAGCCCACCAAGGCGAUGAUCGGUAGCUGGUCUGAGAGGAUGAUCAGCCACACUGGGACUGAGACACGGCCCAGACUCCUACGGGAGGCAGCAGUGGGGAAUUUUGGACAAUGGGGGCAACCCUGAUCCAGCCAUUCCGCGUGAGUGAAGAAGGCCUGG
rnacentral:rRNA from 1 species